UGGGGAAUAUUGGACAAUGGGCGAAAGCCUGAUCCAGCCAUGUCGCGUGUGUGAAGAAGGUCUUCGGAUUGUAAAGCACUUUAAGUUGGGAGGAAGGGCAGUAAAUUAAUACUUUGCUGUUUUGACGUUACCGACAGAAUAAGCACCGGCUAACUCUGUGCCAGCAGCCGCGGUAAUACAGAGGGUGCAAGCGUUAAUCGGAAUUACUGGGCGUAAAGCGCGCGUAGGUGGUUAGUUAAGUUGGAUGUGAAAUCCCCGGGCUCAACCUGGGAACUGCAUUCAAAACUGACUGACUAGAGUAUGGUAGAGGGUGGUGGAAUUUCCUGUGUAGCGGUGAAAUGCGUAGAUAUAGGAAGGAACACCAGUGGCGAAGGCGACCACCUGGACUGAUACUGACACUGAGGUGCGAAAGCGUGGGGAGCAAACAGGAUUAGAUACCCACGUAGUCCCUGAGCGGGCUGGCAAGGCGCAU
rnacentral:rRNA from 1 species